rnacentral:rRNA from 1 species
AGUUAAAAAAUGCGACCAUUUAGAAUUCUGUGGAUAUUCUUUAUAGGCGAACCUAUUUAGAACAGGACCAUGAAACAGAAUUCAAUUCCAGUUGAUCCUGCUGGAGGGUACUGCUAUCAGAAUCCGACUAAGUCAUGCAAGUCUUAGAGAAAUCUAGGCGAACGGCUCAGUAACACGUGGGCAACCUACCCUAAGGACGUGGAUAACCUCGGGAAACUGAGGAUAAUACGCGAUAGGAAAGGGACGAUGGAAUGCCUCCUUUCCGAAAUGAAUUUCGCCUUAGGAUGGGCCUGCGGCUGAUUAGGCUGUUGGUGAGGUAACGGCUCACCAAACCAAUAAUCAGUACGGGCAAUGGGAGUUGGAGCCCGGAGAAGAGGACUGAGACAAGGCCUCUAGCCCUACGGGGUGCAGCAGACGCGAAAACUUUGCAAUACGGGAAACCGUGACAAGGGGAUUCUGAGUGGUGGAGGAUUAAUCUUCCACCUUUUGCCAUGUGUAAACAGCAUGGCGAAUAAGGACUGGGUAAGAUCUGUGCCAGCCGCCGCGGUAAUACAGACAGUCCAAGUGGUGCCCACGAAUAUUGGGCUUAAAGCGCACGUAGCCGGUUCAGCAAGUCUCUGGUGAAAUCCCAAGGCUUAACCUUGGGAAGUGCUGGAGAUACUAUUGAACUUGGAGGCGGGAGAGAUAAGAGGUACUUUUAGGGUAGCGGUUAAAUGUUUUAAUCCUAAAAGGACCACCGGUAGCGAAGGCGUCUUAUUAGAACGCGCUCGACGGUGAGGUGCGAAGGCUAGGGGAGCAACCUGGAUUAGAUACCCAGUUAGUCCUAGCAGUAAAUGAUGCAGACUAGGUGUCAUCACACGCAUGACGUUUGGUGGUGCCGAAGGGAAACCGUUAAGUCUGCCGCCUGGGGAGUACGGUCGCAAGGCUGAAACUUAAAGGAAUUGGCGGGGGAGCACCACAAGGGGUGGAGGCUGCGGUUUAAUUGGAUACAACGCCGGACAUCUUACCGGGGGCGACAGCAGUAUGAAGGUCAGUCUAAAGGGCUUACUAGACAAGCUGAGAGGCGGUGCAUGGCCAUCGUCAGCUCGUGUUGUGAAAUGUCCUGUUAAGUCAGGCAACGAGCGAGACCCACGUCAAUAGUUGCAAACCUGAUUAUUCGAUCGGGUGCACUCUAUUGAGACCGCUAGUGCUAAACUAGAGGAAGGCGUGGGCGACGGUAGGUCCGUAUGCCCCGAAUCUCCCGGGCUACACGCGGGCUACAUUGCUGAACACAACGAGAUGCAACUCCGAAAGGAGAAGCCAAUCUCUUAAAAUUCAGCCAAGUUUGGAUCGAGGGUUGAAACUCACCCUCGUGAAAAUGGAAUCCCUAGUAAUCCCAUUUCGCUAUAAUGCGU